AGCAGUUGCUCCCAUUUGGCUGGAAUUAUUGUACCUGUCAGGUGAAGGCCAUCUAGAUCAUCUAAAAUAAUAAAAAUAUGUUAGGUGAAGAAUUUAAAGACCCUCAAUCUCCAAAGAGAGCCUUGAACCACGGCACCAAGAAGGCCAGAAAGAAAGAUAAUAAAGUUAAGUCUGUCAGUGUCAUGAAAGAAAGUGACAAAGAUAAAAUAAACCUUCAGACACAUUACUAUGGAAAUUCUUGGCCAGAAAGGCCUGCUAGAUUUGUGUCUAAGGACUUUAGGAAACUCCACACUGAUGAUAUUGAGGCUUUAGCUUGGAGUAUUUUUUAUAAUCUUAGAGUAUUUCAGAAACUUAGGCAUCCACAUAAUUACAAAAUAUUCAGAUUCAUUAUAUAUGAUUUACAAUUAAAAUGGGAGGUUAAAGUAAAAAAAAAAAAAAAAAAGUGAAAAAUUUGAAUUAUUUUCCUCUGAGGAUGAUAUUAAUAAUAUUUUAGAAAACUGUUAUACACUUCAGUGUAGUGAAGGCAUCCUGAAUGUGAUCAUACACUACGCAAAUGUUGGUGAAAAGGAUCCUGGAUUUAUAAAGUGUAUCCUAAGAAGCUUUAUGUAUUUCUUGUAGGGAAACAGCUCAAUGGAACAGAAAAUGCAGAUAAAAUUGAAUCAGUUAUUAAAAGUCAGAAGAAGAAGCACAGUUACACAGACAUUCGAGAAGGAAUCAGGAACUGUAAAGAACAUCAUGAAGAUCUGUAUGAUCUGUAUUCUGAGGACGCUCAGUACACCAGAGAGACUUUACAGGGCGUCUAUACACACGGACGUUUAAAGCCCAAGAGAGAAGCUUGGUUCACUACAUACUUUUUAGCAACAGUGAUUUCAGAGUCUAUAAGAAACUAUAGGUCCUUUAUCACCACACUAAUGGCUUUAGACCUGAUUCUCAGACCAAAUCCUGAAAGAGCUGAACAGGAGAUUAUUUUAGAGAAGCUUCCGAUGGCGAGAGGGGGAAGCUGGGUCAAUUCAGAUAAACGGGGAUUUUAUGGGGCAAGUACUUUAGUACGUAAGAAAAAAACAAAAUUAAAAAGCUAAUAGAGGAUGAGGAAGAAAUCUGUAAAAAAUGGCUUUCACUCAGAAAUAAAUCACAGAUUGACAGAGAAAUGAUGAAAUGUCUCCUCGAGCUGGUAUACAGUAAACACAGACUGCGUAUCAAUUCCUCACUUCUAGAAAACUUUAUAAAAAAACUACAUUCAUUUUAAAAAGGAAAUAAAUUCUUUAAUUUCCCCUGAUUUACUGAGGGUCACAUGGUAGAGCAAUUUCUCUGCAAAAUAUGAAUUUAAGUUGCUGUUUAUCAUCUUUAACCAUUCCUACCACAACUAUAUUAAUCACUCGUUACUGCCAUGUUUCACGACUCAGAUCCUUCUCGACAUCAGCCAUGUACAAUUAUUUAUCAGAAAACAUUCAGAAUCUAGAUGUGUAUCUAUACGAUUAUGAUUUGGACUGGUGUAGGGAUGAGAGCCAUCAGUCCAGCUCUUUCUACAGCCAACAUCUCUAUAGAUCCCGAUAUUCUGUCCUCACUAAACAUGUGGAUUCUGUUUCACCAACACUUCAGUACAGAUCCUAUAGACUUAAGCUGCUUUGGAAGAAGAGCAGUACACUUCACUUUACAAACCUGCUCAUGACUAAAACAUUAAUCUGUUUCUAUCUAAAUCCAUUCUUCCUUGAAUUUAUUCCACUGAAAGGCCAUGUUUAUAGAGACACUGUAAAGCAGCACUGUUUAAUUCUAUACAACAGCUGGAGAAAAGAGCAAUUACACAAUUACACAAUUCCUCUUUCUGUGUUUAACUCCAGCAAUUCCACUCUAGCAAGACAAUUACACAGAACCCAUCUGCUGUCUGACCGUCAGUAGCUAAAUAAUUCCAACCUCAAGUCAAGUCAGGAAGCUUUUAUUGUAAUUUUAACCAGAUAUAGCUGACACACUACACAGUGAAAUGUGUGAACCUAUACUGAAAUACAAAUUAAUUAGAGACAGUGUCAAAAUCUAAAUAAUUCCAAACUGUCCAAAACCAGUUUACAGAAGCUCUCCCAAUUCAGCUUGCAUUUAGAAGGAUGUACUGUUACUACUAGGUCAACAGUGAAAGACCCAGAGGUGGACAAAGUACGCAACUUCCUUACUUGAAUAAAAGUACAGAUACUACUGGUCAAACAUUACUCCAUUACAAGUAAAAGUUGUAAAGACAGAUUUUUACUUAAGUAAAAGUACAGAAGCAUAUAAUAUAUAAUUUAUAUAAGUUAUAUAUAUUUCCACAUUUCAUUUACACCGUUUUAAUAUGCAUCCUCCCUCCUGAGUACAAUGCAUUGUGGGCAAUAUUACCCGUUAGAGUGUGCAUCGUUCUGCACUUCGAAUUUCUACAGGAAGUAGUAGACCAUCCGGGAUUUUUUUGGAAUACUCUUUUCAGCAUACUACCAUUUGGGGCAUACUAAUUCUAUUUUCGAAUACUAUUUAGGACACAUAGUAUGAGAAUUUGGAUGCCACAUACGUUUUUGAGUGAUAACUAACAUCAUUACCAAUACGAUGGUGGCAACUUGGCAAACACAUAAAAAAAAAAACCCAUUUGCCUUACCAUACAUACUUCAUGGCUCAGGCAAUAUCCAUUUCAAGCUUUUAGGAGAAAGUAAAAGUAUAUAUACAAUAUCUCACAGAAGUGAGUGCACCCCUGACAUUUUUGUAAAUAUUUUAUUAUAUCUUUUCAUGUGACAGCACUGAAGAAAUGCCCCUCUGCUCCAAUGUACAGUAGUGAGUGUCCAGCCUGUAUAACAGUGUAAAUUUACUGUCCCUUCAAAAUAACUCAACACACAGACAUUAAUGUCUAAACCGCUGGCAACAAAAGUGACUCCACCCCUAAGAGGAAAUGUCCAAAUUGGGCCCAAAGUGUCAAUAUUUUGUGUGGCCAUAAUUAUUUUCCAGCACUGCCUUAACCCUCUUAGGCAUGGAGUUCACCAGAGCUUCACAGGUUGCCACUGGAGUCCUCUUCCACUCCUCCAUGAUGACAUCACAGAGCUGGUGGAUGUUAGAGACCUUGUGCUCCCCCACCUUAGGGUUUAGGUCUGGAAACAUGCUUGGCCAGUCAUCACCUUUAUUUAUUAAAACGAAAAGAAUCUUUACUCUUUUCUAAAAACUGGAACAUACUGUCUAAGUAUGGCCAUGGAUGCCUGCACUGCGCCGAUGAUCUGUCUUUGUUCAUUUUGCCACCAAUUGAUCAGAGUUUAAAAAAUGACAGAAAACCACUGAACUUCACGACACGUGACACAAGAGUGAAAAAAAAUCAUCCUCUGAUUAACGUAACUAUUUUCUACUCAAUAACUUUGACAGAAAUGUAGUGGAGUAAAAAGUACAAUAUUUGUCUUUUAAAUGGAGUGAAGUUAAAGUAACAAGUUUCCAGAAAAAAUAAUACUCAAGUAAAGUACAGUACUCAAAUAAAUGUACUUCUUUACUGUCCACCUCUGGAAAGAUCUGGGCAUAAUAUUAGACAGCAACUUGUCCUCAUAUUUCCAAUAUUACUAAAACAGCCUUCUUCCACCUUAGAAAUAUUGCUAAGCUAAGAAACAUCUUAUCUGUAUCUGAUACAGAAAAGCUAGUUCAUUGGUUGUCCUGCAUCCUCAAUAAACAUGCUACAGUUAGUCCAGAAUGUAGCCACCAGAGUUCUUACCAAUUUUAUCAUCCCUACACUGGCUACCUUUUAAGUUUCAGGUUGAUUUCAAACUACUUGCUACUCACCUACAAGGCUAUAAAUGGUUUCUUAUGAGACUUUACACCAAUCAGCCAUAACAUUAUGAGCAGUGUGAGGUGAAGUGAAUAAGACUGAGUAUCUCCUCAUCAUGGCACCUGUUAGUGGGGGGGAUAUAUUAGGCAGCAAGUCAACAUUUUGUCCUCAAAGUUGAUGUUAGAAGCAGGAAAAAUGGACAAGCGUAAGGAUUUGAGCGAGUUUGACUAAAUUGUGGCCAAAUUGUGAUGGCUAGACCACUGGAUCAGAGCAUCUCCAAAACUGCAGCUCUUGUGGGGUGUUCCCGGUCUGCAGUGGUCAGUAUCUAUCAAAAGUGCUCCAAGGAAGGAACAGUGGUGAAGCGGUGACAGGGUCAUGGACGGUCAAGGCUCAUUGAUGCACGUGGGGAGAGAAGGCUGGCCCGUGUGAUCCGAUCCAACAGACGAGCUACUGUUGAUCAAACUGCUGAAGAAGUUAAUGCUGGUUCUGAUAGAAAGGGGUCAGAACACACAGUGCAGGACGGGUCAGGGCUGUUUUGGGAACAUAAGGAGGACCAACACAAUAUUAGGCAGGUGGUCAUAAUGUUAUGCAUGGUCAGUGUAUCUACCCAGUCUUCUACCAUACUACCAUCCUUUAUGCUUUUUAAGAUCACAAAACUAUGGACUUCUGUUAGUUUGAAGAAAAUCAAAGUCAAUUAAAGGGGUUAAAGUUUUCGUAUUCAGCUCAUAAACGCUAGAUUCCUAAAAGCUAAUUUCUCUCCACUUGCUUCUCUUUUUCUAUCCAUCUUGAGGCAUCCUGUGCCAGCUCCAGUUGUGUUCCAAUUCAGAAAGAGAAGAAAGAGAAGAUGCCAACCCCAUGUGGACUUGUGGAUAACAAAUAACAUGCUGAACAUUUGAAGACUUCAGAAUGGAGGAGUUAGUGUUAUAUCUCAAUGAACUCAUAUGUUUUACUAAUCUAUGAGUUGCUCAGGAGCUUCUGGUUACACAUUUCUGACUGACUGUAUACAGCUGUAGAAACAACAUUAUUUUUAAUCACAAUUUUUAGUGUCACCCAAAUGAGGAUGGGUUCCCUUCUGAGCCUGGUUCCUCUCAAGGUUUCUUCCUCUUAUCAUCUCAGGGAGUUUUUCCUUGCCACCGUCGCCACAGGCUUCUCAUUAGGGAUAAAUACAUUUAAAUAUGUCUACUAUUAAUUCUUUUUAAAAAAAAAUUAUAUAUUUUUACAGGAGAUCAGCAGCUUCUGAGAAACUCAAAUCAACAUCCAUGUCACAGUAACAGUCUCAGAGAUCAGACUUUUCUUCAGUCUGAUGUUUGAUGUGAACAGUAACUGAAGCUCUUGAGUUUAGACACUGAGCUGCUGCUGUGUGAUUAGAGGCUGAUUAGAGACCUUCAUGAAUGUCCAAUAAUAAAGUAAAUGUAUUUUGUACAUGAGGGAAUAACAGUUUAUAGUUGCUGUAACUUAAGAACAAGAUUAAAUUUGUUUCAUCAAUGUGUCACAACAGUGAAAG